UACGUAGGGCGCAAGCGUUAUCCGGAAUUAUUGGGCGUAAAGAGCUCGUAGGCGGUUUGUUGCGUCUGCCGUGAAAGUCCGGGGCUCAACUCCGGAUCUGCGGUGGAUACGGGCAGACUAGAGUGAUGUAGGGGAGACUGGAAUUCCUGGUGUAGCGGUGAAAUGCGCAGAUAUCUGGAGGAACACCGGUGGCGAAGGCGGUAUCCUGGACCGAUACUGACGCUGAGGAGCGAAAGCGUGGGGAGCAAACAGG
rnacentral:rRNA from 1 species